AGUCCCGUAGUGUAGCGGUUUAUCACGUCGCUCUUAUAGCCCUUUUACGAAAUGGUUAUGCGAAGGUCGUGGGUUCGAUCCCCACCGGGACUA